rnacentral:tRNA from 1 species
ACGAGCGCCUGGUCGAUGCGGCCGGCGAUCGGCGCUUCCACCGUCGCGAACUUCAGGUCGAGCUGGCGGCGCGCGAGCGUCGCGCGGGCCUGCGC